rnacentral:rRNA from 1 species
CAGUCGCCGCGGUAAUACGUAGGGUCCGAGCGUUGUCCGGAAUUAUUGGGCGUAAAGGGCUCGUAGGCGGUUUGUUGCGUCGGGAGUGAAAACCCAGGGCUUAACUUUGGGCUUGCUUUCGAUACGGGCAGACUUGAGGCAUUGAGGGGAGAACGGAAUUCCUGUUGUAGCGGUGAAAUGCGCAGAUAUCAGGAGGAACACCGGUGGCGAAGGCGGUUCUCUGGCAAUGUUCUGACGCUGAGGAGCGAAAGUGUGGGGAGCGAACAGGAUUAGAUACCCCGGUAGUCCCUGUCUCUUAUAC